CCAGGAGCGCGCCGCCCGCCGCGCCCAGCGAGCCCCGGCCGGCCCGAGCGCCCUGAGCGCCGCCGAGGAGCGCCACUGGACGAGUCGGGCCCGACGCGGGGCCGCGCUGGCAGGAACCCCGGGGGGGUGCCCGGGACUGCGGAGAACCAGGGCGGGCCGCCCACCCGCUGACCACAGUGAGGAUAAAGGCCGGGAGCCGUGUCCCUGACCCACACGGAAGGAUCUUCCCACGCGGAGUCACAGAGCCUCGGCCCGCUGAGCGGGCGCCUUAAAUUAUCAGACUAUCUAUGUAUUUAUUUUGAUGGUUGUCAUGUAACCGUCUGUCUUAAUAUUUCAUUUUUGCAUCAACGUGUUCAUUCCAAAUAAACUACUUGAUCUGUUCCCUUUUCUACCA